rnacentral:rRNA from 1 species
CCUGGCUCAGGAUGAACGCUGGCGGCGUGCCUAACACAUGCAAGUCGAACGGUCGGAGCAAUCCGAUAGUGGCGCACGGGUGAGGAACACGUAGCUGACCUGCCUCAGAGCGCGGGACAACGGGUCGAAAGACCUGCUAAUACCGCAUACGGUUCACGGAACUAGACGCCGUGAAAGAAAGGCGAAAGCCGCUCCGAGAGGGGGCUGCGACCCAUCAGGUAGUUGGUGUGGUAAAAGCACACCAAGCCGACGACGGGUAGCGGGUCUGAGAGGAUGACCCGCCACACUGGGACUGAGACACGGCCCAGACUCCUACGGGAGGCAGCAGUGAGGGAUAUUGCACAAUGGGGGAAACCCUGAUGCAGCGACGCCGCGUGGGUGAUGAAGGACUUCGGUUCGUAAAACCCUUUUACAGGUGACGAGACAAGGACGGUAGCCUGUGAAUAAGCCUCGGCUAACUACGUGCCAGCAGCCGCGGUAAAACGUAGAGGCAAGCGUUAUCCGGAGUUACUGGGCGUAAAGGGCGCGCAGGUGGUUUGGUAAGUGUGGCGUGAAAGCUCCCGGCUAAACCGGGAGAGGUCGAAACAGACUGCCAGACUCGAGAGUGAUAAAGUACGCGGAAUUCGGGGUGUACGGUGAAAUGUGUAAGAUCCCGAGGAACACCAUGGUGAAAACGGCGUACUGGGUCAUAUCUGACACUGAGGCGCGAAACUUGGGGAGCGAACGGGAUUUAUAGACCCCGGUUUUCCAACCGUUAACGAUGCUUGGCUUGGAUGUCCACCCUGUCGAAAGGCAGGGGGGUGUCGAAGCCAACGCGAUAAGCAAGCCGCCUGGGGAGUACGGUCGCAAGGCUAAAACUCAAAGGAAUUGACGGGGGCCCGCACAAGCAGCGGAGCGUGUGGUUUAAUUCGAGGCUACACGAAGAACCUUACCUGGGUUUGACAUGCAGGUGGUAGGGAGCUGAAAGGUGACCGACCGCAAGGAGCCUGCACAGGUGCUGCAUGGCUGUCGUCAGCUCGUGUCGUGAGAUGUUCGGUUAAGUCCGAAAACGAGCGCAACCCCUAGCGUUAGUUACAGGUGUCUAGCGCGACUGCCUACGAGAAGUGGGAGGAAGGUGGGGAUGACGUCAAGUCAGCAUGGCCUUUAUAUCCAGGGCUACACACACGCUACAAUGGGUGGUACAGUGGGAAGCGAACGCGCGAGCGGGAGCGAAUCCUAAAAAGCCAUUCGUAGUUCGGAUUGCAGGCUGCAACUCGCCUGCAUGAAGCCGGAGUUGCUAGUAAACGCAGGUCAGCCAUACUGCGUUGAAUACGUUCCCGGGCCUUGUACACACCGCCCGUCACGUCAUGGGAGCUGGUCACGCCUGAAGUCGGUGAGCUAACCGCAAGGGAGCAACCGCCGAGGGCAGGGCUGGUGACUGGGACGAAGUCGUAACAAGGUAGCUGUAGCGGAAGCUGCGGCUGGAUCACCUCC